GAUGAACGCUGGCGGCGUGCCUAAUACAUGCAAGUCGAGCGAACAGACGAGGAGCUUGCUCCCCUGACGUUAGCGGCGGACGGGUGAGUAACACGUGGAUAACCUACCUAUAAGACUGGGAUAACUUCGGGAAACCGGAGCUAAUACCGGAUAAUAUAUUGAACCGCAUGGUUCAAUAGUGAAAGACGGUUUUGCUGUCACUUAUAGAUGGAUCCGCGCCGCAUUAGCUAGUUGGUAAGGUAACGGCUUACCAAGGCAACGAUGCGUAGCCGACCUGAGAGGGUGAUCGGCCACACUGGAACUGAGACACGGUCCAGACUCCUACGGGAGGCAGCAGUAGGGAAUCUUCCGCAAUGGGCGAAAGCCUGACGGAGCAACGCCGCGUGAAUGAUGAAGGUCUUCGGAUCGUAAAACUCUGUUAUUAGGGAAGAACAAAUGUGUAAGUAACUAUGCACGUCUUGACGGUACCUAAUCAGAAAGCCACGGCUAACUACGUG
rnacentral:rRNA from 1 species